rnacentral:sRNA from 1 species
AUGAGAAGGAGGGGAAGUCUUGAGAUUUUGUCCAAAGCAUCUCUGGCUGUUACAAACAAGAGGCCUGAGCUUGGCUGGGCCACUUGCUAGCCUUUCCAGGGGCAGAGACAGGAACAACAGUCUUCUCCUAGGUCCCAUCUGUCUGUGAUUUCAUGGCUUAGAGGGGUCACUGAGAAGGCUACUAGGUAGGGAUAUCUUGGCCCUUAUAUGUUGCUUCUUCCCUUCCAGGAGGAGAAAGAAGGCGAUGCCACCAAGGAUUCCCUGGAUGACCUCUUUCCUAACGAGGAGGAAGAGGACCCCAGCAAUGGCUUGUCCCGUGGUCAAGGUGCUACAGCAGCUCAGCAGGGUGGAUAUGAGAUCCCAGCAAGGUUGCGGACGUUGCACAACCUGGUGAUCCAGUACGCAGCCCAAGGUCGCUAUGAGGUGGCCGUGCCACUCUGUAAGCAGGCACUAGAGGACCUGGAGCGCACAUCAGGCCGUGGCCACCCUGAUGUCGCCACCAUGCUCAACAUCCUUGCUUUGGUGUA